rnacentral:rRNA from 1 species
GAUGAACGCUGGCGGCGUGCCUAAUACAUGCCAGUCGAGCGAACAGACGAGGAGCUUUCUCCUCUGACGUUAGCGGCGGACGGGUGAGUAACACGUGGAUAACCUACCUAUAAUACUGGGAUAACUUCGGGAAACCGGAGCUAAUACCGGAUAAUAUAUUGAACCGCAUGGUUCAAUAGUGCAAGACGUUUUUUCUGUCACUUAUAGAUGGAUCCGCGCCGCAUUAGCUAGUUGGUAAGGUAACGGCUUACCAAGGCAACGAUGCGUAGCCGACCUGAGAGGGUGAUCGGCCACACUGGAACUGAGACACGGUCCAGACUCAUACGGGAGGCAGCAGUAGGGAAUCUUCCGCAAUGGGCGAAAGCCUGACGGAGCAACGCCGCGUGAGUGAUGAAGGUCUUCGGAUCGUAAAACUCUGUUAUUAGGGAAGAACAAAUGUGUAAGUAAAUAUGCACGUCUUGACGGUACCUAAUGAGAAAGCCACGGCUAACUACGUG